rnacentral:sRNA from 1 species
GCUGGGCACGGUGGCACAUGCCUGUAAUCCUAGCGGCUUGGGAGGCUGAGGCAGGAGGAUCACAAGUUGAAAGUCAACCUCAGCAAGGGUGAGGCACUAUGCGACUCAGUGAGACCCUGUCUCUA